rnacentral:rRNA from 1 species
GAUAAACGCUGGCGGCGCACAUAAGACAUGCGAGUUGAACGGACUUAAUCGAAAUAUUUAUAUUUUGAAGCGGUUAGUGGCGGACUGGUGAGUAACGCGUAAGGAACCUGCCUAUUAGAGGGGAAUAACAGUGAGAAAUCAUUGCUAAUACCGCAUAUGCCAUAGAUAUCACAUGAUAACAGUGGGAAAGGAGCAAUCCGCUAAUAGAUGGCCUUGCGUCUGAUUAGAUAGUUGGUGGGGUAACGGCCUACCAAGUCGACGAUCAGUAGCCGGACUGAGAGGUUGAACGGCCACAUUGGGACUGAGAUACGGCCCAGACUCCUACGGGAGGCAGCAGUCGGGAAUAUUGCGCAAUGGAGGAAACUCUGACGCAGUGACGCCGCGUAUAGGAAGAAGGUUUUCGGAUUGUAAACUAUUGUCGUUAGGGAAGAGAAAGGACAGUACCUAAGGAGGAAGCUCCGGCUAACUACGUG